AUUGAACGCUGGCGGCAGGCCUAACACAUGCAAGUCGAACGAGCGGCGGACGGGUGAGCAAUGUCUGGGAAACUGCCCGACGGAGGGGGAUAACCACUGGAAACGGUAGCUAAUACCGCACACCUUCGGAUGCGCCCAGAUGGGACUAGCGAGUAGGGGGGGUAACGGCUCACCAAGGCGACGAUCCCUAGCUGGUCUGAGAGGAUGACCAGCCACACUGGAACGGGGACACGGUCCAGACUCCUACGGGAGGCAGCAGUUGGGAAUAUUGCACAAUGGGGGAAAGCCUGAUGCAGCCAUGCCGCGUGUGUGAAGAAGGCCUUCGGGUUGUAAAGUACUUUCAGCGAGGAGGCGUUACUCGCAGAAGAAGCACCGGCUAACUCCGUGCCAGCAGCCGCGGUAAUAC
rnacentral:rRNA from 1 species